rnacentral:rRNA from 1 species
CCUACGGGUGGCAGCAGUGAGGAAUAUUGGUCAAUGGACGCAAGUCUGAACCAGCCAUGCCGCGUGCAGGAAGACGGCUCUAUGAGUUGUAAACUGCUUUUGUACGAGGGUAAACGCAGAUACGCGUAUCUGUCUGCAAGUAUCGUACGAAUAAGGAUCGGCUAACUCCGUGCCAGCAGCCGCGGUAAUACGGAGGAUUCAAGCGUUAUCCGGAUUUAUUGGGUUUAAAGGGUGCGUAGGCGGUCGGAGAAGUUAGAGGUGAAAUCCCGGGGCUCAACUUCGGAAUUGCCUCUGAUACUGGUCGGCUAGAGAGUAGUUGCGGUAGGCGGAAUGUAUGGUGUAGCGGUGAAAUGCUUAGAGAUCAUACAGAACACCGAUUGCGAAGGCAGCUUACCAAGCUACUUCUGACGUUGAGGCACGAAAGCGUGGGGAGCAAACAGGAUUAGAUACCCGAGUAGUC